rnacentral:rRNA from 1 species
GACAGAGGUGCCGAGCGUUAGGCGGAAUCACUGGGCUUAAAGCGUGUGUAGGCGGACCCGUCAGUGUCUUGUGAAAUCCCACGGCUCAACCGUGGAACGGCUGGGCAUACUGCGGGUCUUGAGACACCUAGGGGCGAGCGGAACAGGCGGUGGAGCGGUGAAAUGCGUAGAUAUCGCCUGGAACGCCGACGGUGAAAACAGCUCGCUGGGGGUGUUCUGACGCUGAGACACGAAAGCCAGGGGAGCGAACGGG